AAAGCGUGCGCAGGCGGUUUUGUAAGUCAGAUGUGAAAUCCCCGAGCUCAACUUGGGAACUGCGUUUGAAACUACAAGACUAGAAUAUGUCAGAGGGGGGUAGAAUUCCACGUGUAGCAGUGAAAUGCGUAGAGAUGUGGAGGAAUACCAAUGGCGAAGGCAGCCCCCUGGGAUAAUAUUGACGCUCAUGCACGAAAGCGUGGGGAGCAAACAGGAUUAGAUACCCUAGU
rnacentral:rRNA from 1 species